rnacentral:tRNA from 1 species
GGGGUGGUAGCUCAGCAGUAGAGUGCUUGCCUUGCAAGCAGGAGAUACUGGGUUCAAUCCUUGGCACCAUA